AGAUUGAACGCUGGCGGCAUGCCUUACACAUGCAAGUCGAACGGCAGCACGGGAGCAAUUCUGGUGGCGAGUGGCGAACGGGUGAGUAAUACAUCGGAACGUGCCCAAUCGUGGGGGAUAACGCAGCGAAAGCUGUGCUAAUACCGCAUAAGAUCUACGGAUGAAAGCAGGGGAUCGCAAGACCUUGCGCGAAUGGAGCGGCCGAUGGCAGAUUAGGUAGUUGGUGAGGUAAAGGCUCACCAAGCCUUCGAUCUGUAGCUGGUCUGAGAGGACGACCAGCCAGACGUGGGACUGAGACACGGCCCAGACUCCGACGGGAGCAGCAGGUGGGAAUUUGGACAAGUGGGACGAAAGCCGUAGACGUCCGAGGCCAGUCGGCCGUCGU
rnacentral:rRNA from 1 species